GAAGCCUGCAUUUUUAGAACGAUAAAGCAAUUUCUAGUAUCCCAGCUCAAUAUGCAGAUACAGAAGUAGCCUAAUGCUAGUGUACCUUUCACCUUUGGAAAGUACUUUUUACAUUGACUAACUUUUUUAACAUUCUGAAGUCUCACAGCUCUUUUUAUAGUUUAAGUUCUUUUUUCAGCCCCUCAAGAAAUCUGAAGUCCACCCUCUGACCCACAGUGCUAACGUAAGACAGAUCAUUACCCGGUAUAGAUCGAGCUGCUGGACAAGUCUGUGGAGAAAUGGGAUUAUGCCAGGAAGUUGACCUCUCUACCUGUGUAUUUUGCUCCAACUGAAAGGUUGAAGAAAUCUCUCCAGACACCUCAGUAAACAAGAAGACUACAGUCCUCAAGGAAUCAUGUUCGGCACACAGUUUCCCGUUUCCCUGUGCAUCUUGCCACAACUCCCAAAAAUAGUGAGACACAGCGGCAGCUGUCCUAGAAAUGUGUCGCUCAGCCAUAAAGUGAAUGAGGUGUAUCAUGAUUGAUCAUUCUUCACAUCACCACUAUUGAAGUGAAAGCCAGUCACCCAUGUCAGGAACUGCUCCCAGAUGUGUGAGCAUCUCUCUCUCAUUCACUUCAUCAGUUCUCUGAAGCUUCCCAAAAACUCUCUUAUGCAACAAUAAAAAUCACAUCAUGCUAAUAAUGCAUUUAAGACUCAUCUGCUCUCAAGGGAACAGCUGGUUGCGAUGAUCCGCUGCUAUGUUUCCCAAGUCAUUAGGGUGGAACAAAAGAGACGUGGUUUACAUCACACAGACAUAUGCGUUUCUACAGAGGUCAUGCCCUUGAGUAGCAGUUUCAUUUAAAACUAAAAGAUUCCACGAUUGCAGUUUGUAUUUUUCGGACAGAAGAGGUGAAGGACUCCUGGGUUUCCAUAU